GAUGGGUGAGGGUUUGGUGCAUG
rnacentral:miRNA from 1 species